rnacentral:tRNA from 1 species
UCCCUGGUGGUCUAAUGGUUAGGAUUCAGCACUUUCACUGCUGUUGCCUGGAUUCAAUCCCUGGUCUGGGAA